GAUGAACGCUAGCUACAGGCUUAACACAUGCAAGUCGAGGGGAAACGACAUCGAAAGCUUGCUUUUGAUGGGCGUCGACCGGCGCACGGGUGAGUAACGCGUAUCCAACCUGCCCACCACUUGGGGAUAACCUGGCGAAAGUAAGACUAAUACCCAAUGAUAUCUCUAGAAGACAUCUGAAAGAGAUUAAAGAUUUAUCGGUGAUGGAUGGGGAUGCGUCUGAUUAGCUUGUUGGCGGGGUAACGGCCCACCAAGGCUACGAGCAGUAGGGGUUCUGAGAGGAAGGUCCCCCACAUUGGAACUGAGACACGGUCCAAACUCCUACGGGAGGCAGCAGUGAGGAAUAUUGGUCAAUGGACGGGAGUCUGAACCAGCCAAGUAGCGUGCAGGAUGACGGCCCUAUGGGUUGUAAACUGCUUUUAUAAGGGAAUAAAGUGAGUCUCGUGAGACUUUUUGCAUGUACCUUAUGAAUAAGGACCGGCUAAUUCCGUGCCAGCCGCCGCCGUAA
rnacentral:rRNA from 1 species